rnacentral:rRNA from 1 species
GACGAACGCUGGCGGCGUGCUUAACACAUGCAAGUCGAGCGGAAAGGCCACUUCGGUGGUACUCGAGCGGCGAACGGGUGAGUAACACGUGAGUAAUCUGCCCCUGGCUUUGGGAUAGCCACCGGAAACGGUGAUUAAUACCGGAUAUGACAGCUUCUCGCAUGAGAUGGUUGUGGAAAGUUUUUCGGCCAGGGAUGUGCUCGCGGCCUAUCAGCUUGAUGGUGAGGUAAUGGCUCACCAUGGCUUCGACGGGUAGCCGGCCUGAGAGGGUGACCGGCCACACUGGGACUGAGACACGGCCCAGACUCCUACGGGAGGCAGCAGUGGGGAAUAUUGGACAAUGGGCGGAAGCCUGAUCCAGCAACGCCGCGUGAGGGAUGACGGCCUUCGGGUUGUAAACCUCUUUCGGUGGGGACGAAGCGCAAGUGACGGUACCC